rnacentral:rRNA from 1 species
GACGGUACCUGAAGAAAAAGCAUCGGCUAACUCCGUGCCAGCAGCCGCGGUAAUACGAAGGAUGCAAGCGUUAUCCGGAAUCAUUGGGCGUAAAGGGUCCGCAGGUGGCCAAUCAAGUCGGCUGUUAAAGACCGGGGCUUAACUCCGGGCAGGCAGUGGAAACUGAUUAGCUAGAGUACGGUAGGGGUAGAGGGAAUUCCCAGUGUAGCGGUGAAAUGCGUAGAUAUUGGGAAGAACACCGGUGGCGAAAGCGCUCUACUAGGCCGAAACUGACACUGAGGGACGAAAGCUAGGGUAGCGAAAGGGAUUAGAUACCCCUGUAGUCUUAGCUGUAAACGAUGGAUACUAGGUGUAGCUCGUAUCGACCCCAGCUGUGCCGAAGCUAACGCGAUAAGUAUCCCGCCUGGGGAGUACGCACGCAAGUGUGAAACUCAAAGGAAUUGACGGGGGCCCGCACAAGCGGUGGAGUAUGUGGUUUAAUUCGAUGCAACGCGAAGAACCUUACCAGGGCUUGACAUGUCGCGAAUCUAGCGGAAACGUUAGAGUGCCUUAGGGAAUGCGAACACAGGUGGUGCAUGGCUGUCGUCAGCUCGUGUCGUGAGGUGUUGGGUUAAGUCCCGCAACGAGCGCAACCCUCGUCCUUAGUUGCCAAUAUUAAGUUAGGCACUCUAGGGAUACUGCCGGGGACAACUCGGAGGAAGGUGGGGAUGACGUCAAGUCAGCAUGCCCCUUACGUCCUGGGCGACACACGUACUACAAUGGUUGGGACAAAGGGCAGCAAGCUCGCGAGAGUAAGCGAAUCUCAUCAAACCCAGCCACAGUUCAGAUUGCAGGCUGCAACUCGCCUGCAUGAAGUAGGAAUCGCUAGUAAUCGCAGGUCAGCAUACUGCGGUGAAUUCGUUCCCGGGCCUUGUACACACCGCCCGUCACACCAUGGAAGCUGGCUACGCCCGAAGUCGUUACCCUAACCCUAAGGGGAGGGGGAUGCCGAAGGUAGAGCUAGUGACUGGGGUGAAGUCGUAACAAGGUAGCCGUACCUGAAGGUGUGGCUGGAUCACCUCCUUU